GAUGAAGAACGUAGCGAAAUGCGAUAAUUAAUGUGAAUUGCAGAAUUCAGUGAAUCAUCGAGUCUUUGAACGCACAUUGCGCCUCAUGGUAUUCCGGGGGGCAUGUCUGUCCGAGCGUCAUUGCUGCCCUCAAGCACGGCUUGUGUGUUGGGCCCCGUCCUCCGAUCCCGGGGGACGGGCCCGAAAGGUAGCGGCGGCACCGCGUCCGGUCCUCGAGCGUAUGGGGCUUUGUCACCCGCUCUGUAGGCCCGGCCGGCGCUUGCCGAUCAACCCAAAUUUUUAUCCAGGUUGACCUCGGAUCAGGUAGGGAUACCCGCUGAACUUAAGCAUAUCAAUAAGCGGAGGA
rnacentral:misc_RNA from 1 species